rnacentral:tRNA from 1 species
GCGAAAUUAGCUCAUUUGGAUAGAGCGGCUCCCUCCGGAGGAGCAGGCGGCAGGUUCGAAUCCUGUAUUUCGCG